UACGUAGGGUGCAAGCGUUGUCCGGAAUUAUUGGGCGUAAAGAGCUCGUAGGCGGUUUGUCGCGUCGGAUGUGAAAACCCAGGGCUCAACCCUGGGCCUGCAUUCGAUACGGGCAGACUAGAGUAUGGCAGGGGAGACUGGAAGUUCCUGGUGUAGCGGUGAAAUGCGCAGAUAUCAGGAGGAACACCGGUGGCGAAGGCGGGUCUCUGGGCCAAAACUGACGCUGAGGAGCGAAAGCGUGGGGAGCGAACAGG
rnacentral:rRNA from 1 species